rnacentral:rRNA from 2 species
ACGGGUGAGUAAUGCAUCGGGACCUACCCAGACGUGGGGGAUAACCUCGGGAAACCGGGACUAAUACCGCAUACGUCCUACGGGAGAAAGCGGGGGACCUUCGGGCCUCGCGCGGCUGGACGGACCGAUGUGCGAUUAGCUAGUUGGUAGGGUAAUGGCCUACCAAGGCGACGAUCGCUAGCUGGUCUGAGAGGAUGAUCAGCCACACUGGGACUGAGACACGGCCCAGACUCCUACGGGAGGCAGCAGUGGGGAAUAUUGGACAAUGGGCGCAAGCCUGAUCCAGCAAUGCCGCGUGUGUGAAGAAGGCCUUCGGGUUGUAAAGCACUUUUAUCAGGAACGAAAUACCACGGGUUAAUAACCUAUGGGGCUGACGGUACCUGAGGAAUAAGCACCGGCUAACUUCGUGCCAGCAGCCGCGGUAAUACGAAGGGUGCAAGCGUUAAUCGGAAUUACUGGGCGUAAAGGGUGCGUAGGCGGUUCGUUAAGUCUGUCGUGAAAUCCCCGGGCUCAACCUGGGAAUGGCGAUGGAUACUGGCGAGCUAGAGUGUGUCAGAGGAUGGUGGAAUUCCCGGUGUAGC